AAUAUUGCACAAUGGGGGAAACCCUGAUGCAGCGGCUCCGCGUGAGUGAGGAAGUAUUUCGGUAUGUAAAGCCCUAUCAGCAGGGAAGAAAAUGACGGUACCUGACUAAGAAGCCCCGGCUAACUACGUGCGAGCAGCCGCGGUAAUACGUAGGUGUCAAGCGUUAUCCGGAUUUACUGGGUGUAAAGGGAGCGUAGGUGGAAAAUCAAGUCAGAUGUGAAAGCCCGGGGCUAAACUCCGGGAUUGCAUUUGAAACUGGUAUGCUAGAGUGAAGGAGAGGUAAGUGGAAUUCCUAGUGUAGCGGUGAAAUGCGUAGAUAUUAGGAGGAACACCAGUGGCGAAGGCGGCUUACUGGACUGUAACUGACACUGAGGCUCGAAAGCGUGGGGAGCAAAC
rnacentral:rRNA from 1 species